rnacentral:rRNA from 1 species
UGAAUACGAGGCACUAAGGUGCUGAAGUAGUGUAUGUCAUACUUCCAAGAAAAGCUUGCACUAUCGUAAGAUAAAAAUGCCUGUACCAUAACCGACACAGGUGGGUAGGUAGAGUAUACUAAGGGGCGCGAGAUAACUCUCUCUAAGGAACUCGGCAAAAUAACUCCGUAACUUCGGGAGAAGGAGUGCCUUAUUCUAUAAGGUUGCAAUAACAAGAUCCAAGCAACUGUUUAUCAAAAACACAGGUCUCCGCUAAGUCGUAAGACGAUGUAUGGGGGCUGACGCCUGCCCAGUGCCAGAAGGUUAAAGAAGUCGGUUAGCAAUUGCGAAGCUGGUAACUGAAGCCCUGGUGAACGGCGGCCGUAACAAUAACGGUCCUAAGGUAGCGAAAUUCCUUGUCGGGUAAGUUCCGACCCGCACGAAAGGCGUAAUGAUUUGGAUACUGUCUCGGAGAGGGACUCGGUGAAAUAGACUUGUCUGUGAAGAUGCGGACUACCUGCACCAGGACAGAAAGACCCUAUGAAGCUUUACUGUAACUUGAAAUUGAAAUUGGACUUUAUUCGCGCAGUAUAGGUGGGAGGCGUUGAUUAUAAUCUUGUGGGAUUAUUGGAGCCAUUAGUGAGAUACCACUCUUGUAAUGUUAGAUUUCUAACUUUGAAUCAUGAUCUGGUCAAAGAACAGUUUCAGGCGGGCAGUUUGACUGGGGCGGUCGCCUCCUAAAUGGUAACGGAGGCGUACAAAGGUUUCCCCUGAACGGGUAGAAAUCGUAUCUAGAGUGUAAAGGCAUAAGGAAGCUUGACUGUGAGACCUACAAGUCGAGCAGGGACGAAAGUCGGUCUUAGUGAUCUGACGGUACUGAGUGGAAAGGCCGUCACUCAACGGAUAAAAGUUACUCUAAGGAUAACAGGCUGAUCUCCCCCAAGAGUUCACAUCGACGGGGAGGUUUGGCACCUCGAUGUCGGCUCAUCGCAUCCUGGGGCGGUAGUACGUCCCAAGGGUUGGGCUGUUCGCCCAUGAAAGCGGUACGCGAGCUGGGUUCAGAACGUCGUGAGACAGUUCGGUCCAUAUCCGGUGUAGGCGUUAGAAUAUUGAGAGGAGCCUUCUUUAGUACGAGAGGACCGAGAAGGACAUACCUCUGGUGUACCAGUUAUCGUGCCAACGGUAAACGCUGGGUAGCUAUGUAUGGAGUGGAUAACCGCUGAAAGCAUCUAAGUGGGAAGCCCACCUCAAGAUAAGUAUUCUCAUC